rnacentral:misc_RNA from 1 species
UUAACUAUUAUAUAGUACUCAGACAUCACUAAAAUUCAGAGUUUAGGUCCUCUGGCAAGCGCUCGCCGGCCGGAGCCAGCAGCCCGAGGGCAGGCCUGCCAAAGCAACAAAGUGUAAUAAACAAAGGGUGGUAGGUUACCCGGGAGGCCUUGCGGCAACCCAGGCGACUACUGUAAUGAUCCUUCCGCAGGUUCACCUACGGAAA